CAUUUAUGCCCUGAUCGUUUUGGAAGGCGCUGUUCUCGAAAGGCAACCGCUGCGACUCAUGCAGAACGGUUCUCGGAGCGACAUUCCAGAGGGGCCCGGCCGCGAAUUUAAUGACGGCGUGCAUCAGGGCGCACUCCCAAAUCCGGUUCUUCACGGCGCCUUGUGACCAGGCCCAAGAUCUGGCAACCCAAACANUACACGGAGGGAAUAUGAGGCACAUUCGAUCGUCGAUAAUUGCUGGCGUCGUCGGCUUGAGCAUGAG
rnacentral:misc_RNA from 1 species